ACCAAGCAGCAGUGGAGGGAGAUCCAAGCCUCAGCCUUUGGCACUUGGAAGAGGUGCUAGAGGUUGCGGCCUCAACAUCUGAUUGCCCCAAGGAGGGAUGCUGAAGGGAAGAGCUGCCAACAACAAAACCCCAAUUGGAAGGAGGGCUUCGCUAGGUUCUUUAAUGGACAAUGAGAAGCUCAGCUUGAGUGGCACGGUAGGAAGUAGUGAGCACACAGUCAGUGAUCGAGCAGGCUUGAGGCAGAAAUCACAUCACACAGAAAGUGAUGUGCUCAUGGAGUGCGCGGCCAAGGAUCUCCAUAAAGAGGUCGUGCAAGGAAUGAGAGAGAUGAUGGACAGGGCUCAGCCACUCGUAAGCUCCUUGCUGAACUUGCAGACACAGGUUC
rnacentral:lncRNA from 1 species